rnacentral:rRNA from 1 species
UGGGGAAUAUUGCACAAUGGGCGCAAGCCUGAUGCAGCCAUGCCGCGUGUGUGAAGAAGGCCUUCGGUUGUAAAGCACUUUCAGCGAGGAGGAAGGUGGUGAACUUAAUACGUUCAUCAAUUGACGUUACUCGCAGAAGAAGCACCGGCUAACUCCGUGCCAGCAGCCGCGGUAAUACGGGAGGGUGCAAGCGUUAAUCGGAAUUACUGGGCGUAAAGCGCACGCAGGCGGUUUGUUAAGUCAGAUGUGAAAUCCCCGGGCUCAACCUGGGAACUGCAUUUGAAACUGGCAAGCUAGAGUCUCGUAGAGGGGGGUAGAAUUCCAGGUGUAGCGGUGAAAUGCGUAGAGAUCUGGAGGAAUACCGGUGGCGAAGGCGGCCCCCUGGACGAAGACUGACGCUC